rnacentral:misc_RNA from 1 species
AGCAGCCGCAGUAAUUUCAGCUCCAAUAGUGUAUAUUAAAGUUGUUGCAGUUAAAAGCUCGUAGUUGAAUUUUGGGAUCAGUUGGUCGGUCGUGUCUUGGUACGUACUGGUCAAAUUGAUUCCUACCUUCUGACGAAUCACAAUGUCAUUAAUUUGGUGUCGCAGGAAAUCAGGACUGUUACUUUGAAAAAAUUAGAGUGUUUAAAGCAGGCUCGUGCAUUGAAUACAUUAGCAUAGAAUAAUGAAAUAAGACGUUUGAUUCUAUUUUGUUAGUUUCUAGGAUCGAUAUAAUGAUUAAUAGGAAUAGUUGGAGGUAUUAGUAUUCAAUUGUCAGAAAGUGAAA